GAGUUUGAUCCUGGCUCAGGACGAACGCUGGCGGCGCGCCUAACACAUGCAAGUCGAACGAGCGAGAGAGAGCUUGCUUUCUCGAGCGAGUGGCGAACGGGUGAGUAACGCGUGAGGAACCUGCCUCAAAGAGGGGGACAACAGUUGGAAACGACUGCUAAUACCGCAUAAGCCCACAGCUCGGCAUCGAGCAGAGGGAAAAGGAGUGAUCCGCUUUGAGAUGGCCUCGCGUCCGAUUAGCUAGUUGGUGAGGUAACGGCCCACCAAGGCAACGAUCGGUAGCCGGACUGAGAGGUUGAACGGCCACAUUGGGACUGAGACACGGCCCAGACUCCUACGGGAGGCAGCAGUGGGGAAUAUUGCACAAUGGGGGAAACCCUGAUGCAGCGACGCCGCGUGGAGGAAGAAGGUCUUCGGAUUGUAAACUCCUGUUGUUGAGGAAGAUAAUGACGGUACUCAACAAGGAAGUGACGGCUAACUACGAGCCAGCAGCCGCGGUAAAACGUAGGUCACAAGCGUUGUCCGGAAUUACUGGGUGUAAAGGGAGCGCAGGCGGGAAAGCAAGUUGGAAGUGAAAUCCAUGGGCUCAACCCAUGAACUGCUUUCAAAACUGUUUUCUUGAGUAGUGCAGAGGUAGGCGGAAUUCCCGGUGUAGCGGUGGAAUGCGUAGAUAUCGGGAGGAACACCAGUGGCGAAGGCGGGCUACUGGGCACCAACUGACGCUGAGGCUCGAAAGUGUGGGUAGCAAACAGGAUUAGAUACCCUGGUAGUCCACACUGUAAACGAUGAUUACUAGGUGUUGGAGGAUUGACCCCUUCAGUGCCGCAGUUAACACAAUAAGUAAUCCACCUGGGGAGUACGACCGCAAGGUUGAAACUCAAAGGAAUUGACGGGGGCCCGCACAAGCAGUGGAGUAUGUGGUUUAAUUCGACGCAACGCGAAGAACCUUACCAAGUCUUGACAUCCUGCGACGGUGCUGGAAACAGUACUUUUCUUCGGGACGCAGAGACAGGUGGUGCAUGGUUGUCGUCAGCUCGUGUCGUGAGAUGUUGGGUUAAGUCCCGCAACGGGCGCAACCCUUAUGGUCAGUUACUACGCAAGAGGACUCUGGCCAGACUGCCGUUGACAAAACGGAGGAAGGUGGGGAUGACGUCAAAUCAUCAUGCCCUUUAUGACUUGGGCUACACACGUACUACAAUGGCGUUAAACAAAGAGAAGCGAGACCGCGAGGUGGAGCAAAACUCAGAAACAACGUCCCAGUUCGGACUGCAGGCUGCAACUCGCCUGCACGAAGUCGGAAUUGCUAGUAAUCGCAGAUCAGCAUGCUGCGGUGAAUACGUUCCCGGGCCUUGUACACACCGCCCGUC
rnacentral:rRNA from 1 species